rnacentral:misc_RNA from 1 species
GAUGAAGAACGUAGUGAAAAGCGAUAAGUAAUGUGAAUUGCAGAAUCCAGUGAAUCAUCGAAUCUUUGAACGCACAUUGCGCCCGCCAGCAUUCUGGCGGGCAUGCCUGUUCGAGCGUCAUUUCAACCCUCGACCUCCCUUUGGGGAAGUCGGCGUUGGGGACCGGCAGCACACCGCCGGCCCUGAAAUGGAGUGGCGGCCCGUCCGCGGCGACCUCUGCGUAGUAAACCAACUCGCACCGGAACCCCGACGUGGCCACGCCGUAAAACACCCAACUUCUGAACGUUGACCUCGAAUCAGGUAGGACUACCCGCUGAACUUAAGCAUAUCAAUAGCGGAGGA